UACGGGGGGGGCAAGCGUUGUUCGGAAUUACUGGGCGUAAAGGGCUCGUAGGCGGCCAACUAAGUCAGACGUGAAAUCCCCAGGCUUAACCUGGGAACUGCGUCUGAUACUGGGUGGCUUGAGUGCAGGAGAGGUUAACGGAACUCCAUGUGGAGCGGUAAAAUGUGUAGAUAUAUGGAAGAACACCAAUAACGGCGAAAGCAGUUAACUAUUCUGCUACUGACAUUGAGGCACGAAAGCGUGGGGAGCAAAACGG
rnacentral:rRNA from 1 species